CCAGCUCAUCAACACUACAAAUCUAAAGCUGAAAGCUCAGGGUACGGUAAUGACAGAUGGAAACUUCAUUACAGAAAGCAAUGAAGAACACCCAAGUGGUGUAGACCAGACCCAUGACUUGCUCCUAAACAACAGAAUAUGACAAAUGGAAUGGCACGUCACUCCCAUGAUUAUGUGAUGUUAUAUGACUGUGUCUUGCUAGCUGGCUGGCUCCACAGACGUUCUCUCUCCCUUGCUGGCUGUGAAGAAGCAAGCUGCCAGAACUCCUAAAGCCACAUGGAGCUCAUUGCUGCCAAAAGGAAUUGGGAAGCAAAUCCUUCCCUAGCUGAGCCUCCAGUUGAGAGCCAGUCCUGGCCAACACCUUGAAUGUAGCCUUGUAAGACCUUCUGAGGAGGACCAAGCUAUGCCGUAUCCAGAUGUGUGACCUGCAGAAACUCUGAGAGCCUUUGAUGGGAAUUCAGCCCAGCUGACACCUUGAUGUCCACCUUGUGAUACCUUGGGAAGAAUCCCUGCCCCACCAUGCUGAACUUUUGAUCUACAAAACUAAGGCAUCUGAACCUGGAGUGAGGCUGGCAUGGCUGCUAGCAUCCUGAAUCCAUCAGGCACGGAAUUGCCACGAGUAAUAUGAGUGAAAUAAGGACAUAAAACCCUGGGGCCUUAAGAAGGCAACUCCACUGACUCCAAAAAAACAUUUUAACAGAUGUUAUAUGCAUGGCACCAAAUAAAUAAGACCUGAUGUAAGUAAUC
rnacentral:lncRNA from 1 species